UACGGGGGGAGCAAGCGUUGUUCGGAUUUACUGGGCGUAAAGGGCGCGUAGGCGGUCAGCACAAGUCGACUGUGAAAUCUCCGGGCUUAACCCGGAAAGGUCAGCCGAUACUGCGGGGCUAGAGUGCAGAAGGGGCAACUGGAAUUCUCGGUGUAGCGGUGAAAUGCGUAGAUAUCGAGAGGAACACCUGCGGCGAAGGCGGGUUGCUGGGCUGACACGUGACGCUGAGGCGCGAAAGCUAGGGGAGCGAACGGG
rnacentral:rRNA from 1 species